UCGGAUCCAUCAGAUCCAUUUUUUUAUAUAACUAAUUAGUUAUAUAAAAAAAAAAUGGAUCUGAUGGAUCCGA
rnacentral:miRNA from 1 species